GGAUACUGGUGUCAGUUGUGCCACACGCAGGAUCCACUACAAAUAUUUGGCUGGAUGGAAGAUGAAGAAACCCUUCCUUCUGAUUGGUGUAUUUCAGUUGUGGGCUUUCUUCAACCAAAACCACAUGGCUUGAUGGCCUGAGGGGUCUUGUGAGGAGACUGUCAGCAAGAUUGUUCCUUAUGAUGUACUCUUUGUACCGACCCUUCAAGGAACUAUACAAAGCUUGAAUGAAGUGAGCUGGCCUGAGGUGUUUUUUCUUGCACAGAAUUGAAGUUUUCACAAUGCCAAACCACUUUUCAACAUGACAGUUCGUGUCUCUUUUUUUCUGAUAUUCUUGGGUGGGUGAGUGGACCAUGUCACAGCCAUAUCUCUGUAGGUCUCCCAGCAGAACCCCGCUCCAGAGUGGAUAAAUGGCCAUAUAAUUGUCCAGAAGAAAACUGAUCAUUUCCGGGCAGUAAUAUGGAUUUGCUUGAUUUGAAUCAUUUUCACCCUCCACAACAGCACUGACUUCAUCACAAAUGUUUCUGAACAUUUUGGAGUAUGAGGAACCACCAACAAUUGUUGCAGAUGUACUGUCACUCACCUCCACCUUUUCUAGGACCUGACCUGUGGUAUCCUGCAGAA